rnacentral:lncRNA from 1 species
CCUCCAUGAGAGGUGGAUGGGGCACGAGCCCCGGGCAGCCUCCACCAGGUCUCCCUAGCCCGAAAUACAGACAACCCAUCUCUUGAUCAAAAAGACGUGUCCGUGUUCCAUCCUCCUUUGUUCAGGGAAGGCUGGCUGUGAGAGCUUUUGGAAGAAAUCUCCUCUCACCACAACAAAAGCAGGAGAACCUUGGCCCCUGAUUCCACAGCACGAGGAAGACACGCAAUUAGCUUCACUGCAAAGUGCUGCCAGAUGAAACUGGAAACACAACAAAUAAAAUCAUUAGCCAUCGGAAUUGGAAUUACCUUCCAAGGCUCAUGCUUGUACUUUUCUCUCGCUCGCUGUCUCUCUGACUCUCUUUCUCUGAUUCUCUCUCUCUCUCUCUUUCUCUCUCUCUGACUCUCUCUCUGUCUCUCUCUCUCUUUCUCUCUCUCUGACUCUCUCUCUGUCUCUCUCUCCCUCUCUCUGCCUCUUCAUCUCUGUCUGUCCCUUUCUGUCCCUCCAUCUCUGUCUUCCCCUUCUGUUUCUCUUUUCCCUCUCUUUCUCUCUUCCUAUCUUCCUCCCUCUUCCUCUUUCUCCUCUCUCCUCCUCUCUCUGUUUCCCAAACACCACUUUCGAUGGUGCUAAUGACUAUAUGGAAACUGAGUCCUGUGCCUGUGUGUGGGAGAAGAAGGCAGCAGACAGGAGUGCGUGUAACAUCUGCCAGGAUGCCCAGGAGCACAGAGGAGUGGAGUGCAUUCGCAGGACAAGCACAAGAAAGCCGAGAGUGCCGACGCCUCUCAGGCUGCCCACUGCCACACUGCCACCGCGAACCACCUGCUACAGCAGCCACACUCCAUCGAGGCAGAGAGGGCCAUGCACCUGCUGCAGACAGCAAGAGUGGAAGAACCUAGGAAGCUCUCUGCCGAUGCUCACAGCUGUCCUGGAAGAGGGAGUGGGGCCACCCAGCCCAGCUCAACUGCCCGGUAGAGCUCAAUUCCAUAGACGGUGGUCUCUGGGGACAGAGUGCCCCUCAGCUCCCAGGAAUGUGCCUGCGUGCUUCCCUCCCCGUGACACUUCCUUCCUCAGCUGGACAUGCGCUGAUGUCCACUUGUGAUGUGUUUAGCUUCACUGCAUGCCCGUGAGAGCCACGUGACCCUCAGCAGGACUUAUGAAGAUGUAACAUUGGACAUGGUAACAGAACAACCACACGAGAAUAAUCUCACAAGAUGGCCCAUCCGCAACAGGCUAGCACCUGGGCUACCCUGGACACAUGUGUUUCCUGCUGGAACAGUGACCGAGGGGACACUAAGGUCCCCCCAUCGGUGUGGGGUGUAUGGGAACUCUCUGUACUAUCUUUGUAAUUUUUCUGUAAGUUUAAAACUCUUAUAAGAAAUGAAGUUUCUUUUUAAAUCCUCGUCGUCUUGUCUGACCACCCGCUCUUCUGCCUGGG